UUGGGUGUUCUGUGUUUGUGGGGUUGUGUGGGAGCAGAUAACGGAGAGGCUUCGCGACCCGAGGGGCCUUCGCAGAGGGAGAUUUCCUGGUGCCGGCCCUCGUAACGUGGCCGCCAAUGGAGCUCGGCAACGUGGUUUCGUUCGCCCUGCCGAUAGGACUGAGAACGAAGAUCAGCCUCCUGCCAAGCGCCGCCUCUUGUCUGCUGUCGUCAAGGUGGAAGACGGAGAGAUAAUAGAGGAUGCUGAAGCAGCAAAGGAUGUGAAGACGAGGGAUUCGUUGGUGGAGGGAGACGUCGUUGCAAAUCAAA